rnacentral:rRNA from 1 species
AGAGUUUGAUCCUGGCUCAGGACGAACGCUGGCGGCGUGCUUAACACAUGCAAGUCGAACGGAAAGGCCCCUUCGGGGGUACUCGAGUGGCGAACGGGUGAGUAACACGUGAGUAACCUGCCCUUGACUUCGGGAUAACUUCAGGAAACUGGGGCUAAUACCGGAUAGGAAUCCUUGCUGCAUGGUGGGGGUUGGAAAGCUUCGGCGGUUUUGGAUGGACUCGCGGCUUAUCAGCUUGUUGGUGGGGUAGUGGCUUACCAAGGCUUUGACGGGUAGCCGGCCUGAGAGGGCGACCGGCCACAUUGGGACUGAGACACGGCCCAGACUCCUACGGGAGGCAGCAGUGGGGAAUAUUGCACAAUGGGCGGAAGCCUGAUGCAGCAACGCCGCGUGCGGGAUGACGGCCUUCGGGUUGUAAACCGCUUUCAGCAGGGGCGAAGCUUGUGGUGACGGUACCUGCAGAAGAAGCACCGGCUAACUACGUGCCAGCAGCCGCGGUGAUACGUAGGGUGCGAGCGUUGUCCGGAUUUAUUGGGCGUAAAGAGCUCGUAGGUGGUUGAUUGCGUCGGAAGUGAAAACUUGGGGCUUAACCCUGAGCGUGCUUUCGAUACGGGUUGACUUGAGGAAGGUAGGGGAGAAUGGAAUUCCUGGUGGAGCGGUGGAAUGCGCAGAUAUCAGGAGGAACACCAGUGGCGAAGGCGGUUCUCUGGACCUUUCCUGACGCUGAGGAGCGAAAGCGUGGGGAGCGAACAGGCUUAGAUACCCUGGUAGUCCACGCUGUAAACGGUGGGUACUAGGUGUGGGGUCCAUUCCACGGAUUCCGUGCCGUAGCUAACGCAUUAAGUACCCCGCCUGGGGAGUACGGCCGCAAGGCUAAAACUCAAAGGAAUUGACGGGGCCCCGCACAAGCGGCGGAGCAUGCGGAUUAAUUCGAUGCAACGCGAAGAACCUUACCUGGGUUUGACAUGGACUGGGAGUGCUCAGAGAUGGGUAUGCCUCCUUGUGGGGCUGGUUCACAGGUGGUGCAUGGCUGUCGUCAGCUCGUGUCGUGAGAUGUUGGGUUAAGUCCCGCAACGAGCGCAACCC